rnacentral:rRNA from 1 species
UACGUAGGGUGCGAGCGUUAAUCGGAAUUACUGGGCGUAAAGCGUGCGCAGGCGGUUCGUUGUGUCGGCGGUGAAAGCCCCGGGCUUAACCUGGGAAUGGCCGUUGAAACUGGCGAACUGGAGUGUGGCAGAGGGGGGUGGAAUUCCGCGUGUAGCAGUGAAAUGCGUAGAGAUGCGGAGGAACACCGAUGGCGAAGGCAGCCCCCUGGGCUAACACUGACGCUCAGGCACGAAAGCCAGGGGAGCAAACGGG